rnacentral:rRNA from 1 species
AACGCUGGCGGCGUGCCUAAUACAUGCAAGUCGAGCGAACAGACGAGGAGCUUGCUCCUCUGACGUUAGCGGCGGACGGGUGAGUAACACGUGGAUAACCUACCUAUAAGACUGGGAUAACUUCGGGAAACCGGAGCUAAUACCGGAUAAUAUAUUGAACCGCAUGGUUCAAUAGUGAAAGACGGUUUUGCUGUCACUUAUAGAUGGAUCCGCGCCGCAUUAGCUAGUUGGUAAGGUAACGGCUUACCAAGGCAACGAUGCGUAGCCGACCUGAGAGGGUGAUCGGCCACACUGGAACUGGGACACGGUCCAGACUCCUACGGGAGGCAGCAGUAGGGAAUCUUCCGCAAUGGGCGAAAGCUUGACGGAGCAACGCCGCGUGAGUGAUGAAGGUCUUCGGAUCGUAAAACUCUGUUAUUAGGGAAGAACAAAUGUGUAAGUAACUAUGCACGUCUUGACGGUACCUAAUCAGAAAGCCACGGCUAACUACGUG